UCUAUGGCCAGGGAGUCGCGGGCAUGGGGCUAAGGGGAGGGGGUCCAAUGCCAGUUGCUUAAAAAUGCCCCGUGGCAGUGAAGGGGGCCAGGGGCCGGGUCAAGUUAAUUGCGAAGCAGUGACACCCCCCACCAUUCCCCACACAGGCUGGCCCCCCAUCGUCAGGCCCAAGGAGCCACACCUGGACCAGACUCCAGGCAAGGGAAGGACAUGGCUGGUGUGGAAAAAGCAGACGCCCAGAGAAGGAACCUCCCAGGGACCAGAGGGAGCAGGUGGCAGGCAGUCCUGGCUGCAGAACUGUGAGUGUCCCCCAGUUCCUCCACACAUGCGUCCUGUGUGUGGCUCCUCUAGAGUACCUGGGACCCAGGGACCCCCCACCACGCUGUGCUGAUCCUCACUAGGCCUCAGCACAGCAAGGAGCAGCACUCGGUCAAGAAGGCCCUAGCUGAAGGGUGGCAGCAGGGGAAAUUGUUGGCCUUUGGGGUCUGAGCAAUGGAACCAAAGAAGGGAGAUGAGCAGGAGCUGAGACUCCGCCCACGCUCCCUAUGCAAUAGCCAGGCAAGCCUGUGUGAUUUGAUGAAGGGGGCUAGGGGAAGAUGUAGGAACGUAGCAAUCUUCCCUAGAAAGAGUGAAUAGGACUAGACUCUGGAGGCAGGAGGCCCCGGGGUAGUGUGACUUUGGAUAAGUCACUGAGCCUGGUGGUAACCAACAGUCUCCUUCAGCUUUGGAAAGGCUCUCAAAGCUGGGCUGUCUCCCAGGUGCACGGCAAGCUCCAGAAGGAAGAGCAGCAGUUUUACUGCCUAUUUACACACACUUGCCAACUGUGGGCACCUUCAUGCUCCUGCUAGAGGGCGGGGCGGGGUGGUGGCCUCAUUAAUACAGCUGGGGAAACUAAGGCCUAAGAAGUGAAGGGACUCACUCGGAGCCCUUGGGUCAGCAGCAGCAGACGGUCACUUGGUGCCACAUCUCCCAUGGACAGAAUAAAGGAAGAAAGGUGUGGAAGUGAGCAGAGGGAUAGAGAGAGGGGGAGGCAAGGGCCGGGGAUUUAGCUCAGCAGCAUAAGCACCUGCCUGGCAAGUAUGAGGUCAUGAGUUCGAUCCCCGCCUGGUACCGCAAAAAAAAAAAAACAAAACAAAACAAAAACAGAGAGAUGGGGAGACAGACUCCAGCAAGGAGUGACACUUCAAGGACAUGGGAGAAGACCCAGCCUCCCUUGCAUAAAGGGGCCCACCUGUUCUCCCCUCAUGUUCCCGAGUGUGCACAGACGUGCACUCUGGCACAGCACACACCCGGUCCUUGCUCUCCAGCAGAAGAGCCCCAGAGACGGGGCCUAAACAAAUCGGAUUAGAAGGCUGCAGGCGCCUCCUCCCUCCCUGUCCACUCCGACACUGAGCAGGCCUGCGGGCUGCCAGCUGCAGAGCCUCGGCCACACUGACAGCCAUCCCAGCCUGGGCCCCAGCCCUGAGCCCCAGGAAGGGGCCGGGGUCCCAGAGGAUGCCACAGUGAUGGAUGGGGUGAGGGAGGCUCCAGGGCCGCCUCUGGAGCACACAGGAUGUUAGUGCUUGUGUGAGGCAAUUUCCGAGUGUUCCCAGCCCACCCCUACCCCUGCUCCGCCCCCUUCCUCCGGCCUCUCCCAUGGUCAUUGCUGCCUGGCGGGGACUGGGGCACCAUCUGAGGCUCGGCAGAACCCAGGCCCUGUGCGUAUACACAUCUCUCACUUCUUAGUCCUGCAGCUGGGCUGAGUGGGAAGGGGUUGGCUCAGCAGACACUGGCCUGGGGAUGGCACUCACUGGGACUUUAGAGGAAGGAAACUGUGGGCAGAAAGCUGAGGCCAUCCUGAAGGUGGCAUCUCAGUGUUACUCGUGCAUCGUUGGGUUAACCCUCAAAAUGUGCUGGGAAGUAGGAGACUGCACAUAAUCCAGAUUGACCACUGGGGUUUCUUCAUCAAGCAUCCUCUCCCGAGCCCCUAGUCUGUGCCAGGCCCAGUAUGGUGCGAUGAGAACACAGAGACAAAAUACCCAUCACCCUCAUUCGGUUGUUUAUGGGGGUCACUCCCAGGGGACCAGGUCUGGGGACUGGGGCUUCCCUGGGCUUUUGCAGGAGUGAUGCCUACAAAGUCCCUUCUCCGCAGGGAUCAAAUGCUUCCCUCCUUCAAGGGGAGCCGGAGCAAUCAGCCCAGCCAGAACCCGACCUGAUGUCAGGCAGCCCCAGUUCCUGUCCAGCUCCGUCUCCAGCUGGACCACUGUGGUCAGUGCCGAGGCAGCCCCACACCUGUUCCUCCUCCUGCAAAGUGGUUAUAUGAAAGCUCCCACUCAUAGGGCUGACGGGAUUCAUCUCACUGUUGUCUGUACUCUCCUUCAGUAGAUGGAGAGACAGAAGCCAGGGGAGGAAGGGGCCCAGUUAGGUCAGCAGCAGGUGGGCGCCCUGCUCUCCGGAGUUCUUCCUCCCUGGCUCUUGUCCCACUACCCCCCUAAGCUGCCAGGGGCCAGGACAGUUGAUGGUUGGUCCAGGUGGGACGUGUCCUGGGCCCUGCCCAGCCUCACAGCAGCAGAGUCCCGGGGACGAGCGGUGGCCCCCAGCCCUCUGGGUGGCAGUAGAGGUGGGGAGCGCUCAGAGGGCUCCCAGCCCAGCGCAGCUGCCAUAUAAGGGAAGGAGCCCAGGAGCCUGCUCACCCUGGCCUGAGAGAAACCCCAGACAGCCACUGUUUAUUUCUCCUCGCAGCCUCCCCUUCUCCCGCCCCUCUGGAACGUCCAGAUAGAAGACAGAGAAUCCCCAGCAGGCCGGCUGGCGACAUUUCCUGGAGACAUGGGGAGAGGGAGGGGAAAUGGCUGCCCCCCCCCCCCGGAUCAGCCCCCCGGUGUGCCAAAAGCCCUCACUGAACCUCCAGGUAAAACAUCCACCUGGUUCAGCCUCCUUCUUUAUAGAAGGGGAAGCAAAAAUCCCAAGAGGAAAGUGCCCUGCUGAUAGACCACAGAGCCAGCUGCCGACAGAACCAGCCUCCCGACCGACACUGUCUCAGCUCCUGACUGGUGCUCCGGUGUGAAGGAGCCUUCAUGGGGUAAGUGAAACCAGAAUGACAUUGCCCCUCUCUGCAAGGAGGCAGGGGUUGGGACAAGCGCCACCUGCCAUCCCAGCAAGUAUGCGUGACCCAAAAGAAGUGUGCCUGGCACCAGAGAGCCAGGUUGGGGCUCCUGCCCAUAACUCUCCUUCCUCGCACCCCGCUACAUCCCUCUCCUCCAAGAAGCCUUCCAGCUCUCCCCGGAACAGGAGGCUCUGUGUUUUCUAAGCCUUCGUCAGUCUUGUCAUGAACUCUCCUUGCCACUUGGGUCUGUGUGUAUCCCUUUCCCUACUCAGAGCACUUCCCAUUUUUUGAUGUUUGUUUUGGAUACUGGGGUUUGAACCCAGGCCUUCCACACUAAGCUCUAUCUGCAGCCCUUUUUCACUUUGUUUUGGAGACAGGAUCUUGCUAAUUUGCUAAGUUGCCUGAGCUGGCCUUAAAUUUUCGACCCUCCUGCCUCAGCCUCCCGGAGUGCUGGAAUAACAGGUGUGCGACCAGAGCAUUUUCCUCCUCCCUCAGCCAGGCCACAUCAGUGCUCAGCCCCAUGUCCUUGGGCACAGAGGAGGUGCUUGAUUUGUCGAAUGAACGAGUACAAUAAUGAGACCUGAACCCAAAGGCCCGAGGGACCCAGCCUGGAGGUUAGUGAAGGGUUAGUGCAAUUGGUUACACUGCAUUGCAAAGCCUAGCACGGCACUUUGCUCUGUGCCCUCAGGAAGCCCCUACCAUGGAGCCUUAAGGAGCCACCAGGAUUAGCACGAAUAAACAUUCACUGGUGGGUUGGAUUGAAGUCGUUACCCAUGUGAUCAUUCUAGAACCAAGGCACAGAACCAGGCAGCUUCUAGCCAGGGCUGGGGAUAGACACCGUGCAGAGGAGUCACAGCUUCUGUCCGGUGUCACUUUCUCUGCCUCUGCCGCCCUGUCUGCACCCUGGGGUCAGCUGCCUGCUGUCUGUACCGCCCUUCUUCUGGGUGCAGUAGCCAUGGCCCCCCACAGCCCCACAGCGCUCUGCGGCUGGGCACCACCUCUUCCCUGCCAGGUCUGAGUGGAGCUGAUGCACUCAGCCUCCCUGGCUGCUGGGGUUCAGGGGCACUGCGCCCUGUUUCCCAAACCCCACCAUGCAGGUGCCUCCUUUUAAAUUUUUGUACGCACUCAUAAUGUUUUGGAAUGUAAGGUGAGUCCUGUGAGUACCUAAAGAGAAACAGUUACCAAAAAAUGAAAACGGUAAUAUGUCCAAAAGGGAAAAUAAUUGCAGUGAAAAUGAAACAACAUCACAACUUUGCUGACACUGUGGCUUGCAGGAUGCUGAGCCUGAAGCCUGGAUGGCGACAGAGGAGUCAGGAAGGAGUCAGGUGGCCACGCUGAGCCUUGCUCCCUGGACAGCAGGAUGGAAAGCAAAGCACAGAGGACACCAGAGCCACUCUCUUCCCAAGUGACUUAAUGCUCAGGCCACCAACUCCCAGAACUCCGCGCGGGGUCAGGCUGAGCGCCUCCUCUCCCAGGGUGCUGGAGCCGGGGGAGGGCGAGGGCCGCUGGUCCUAGCCAGGGGUGUCUGGGGUUACAAGUGCUCCCUGGCCAGAGACGGUUUGAAGAUUUUCUUUUCUUUCUUUUUCCCUCCUGGCCUUCUGCCGUCUUCUUUUUUAAAGGGGUCACUUCACCCUGGGUUCAUCCCCGUCUUUUUUUAUUUUGAAAGAGAAUCUUGCUAAGUUGCCCAGGCUAGAUUCGAAUUUGUAGUCCUCCUGCGUCAGCCUCCCAGAGUGCUAGAAUCACAAGUGUGCAAAAGAGUUUUUGCAAGAGGAAGACCAUUCCUUGACUGAGAAUACCUCUGGCAUGCGUCCCCUCAGCAGACCAUCAGAAGGGACCUGCCCCAAGCAAGAGGGUUAGAGAAAGACUCCCACUCCCCACAGAGUGUGGAUUGAGCCUUAGAUCAGACCCUGAUCAGACGGGCAUGGGAAGUGUUUCUUUUGUUUGCCAGCCCUGAGAAGGGCUGCCCAUACUCUUCAGAUAUCUCUGAACUGUAGGUCCCUGGCAUCAAGGCCACCACAGUUGCUAUCAGGCAAAGCAAGAGGGUACUCUGGGGAGCCCCAGGGUGCUGGCAGGCAGGAGGAGUGAGGGGGGAGGUAUUCCCACCCCAGCCAGGCCCAGAGAAGGAAGUGCAUGGUCUGCGUGGACAUUCAGUCUGCUAUACAUGGCGUCCUCCAGGUGUCCACUACUGUGGACAAAACCGUCCACCAGAUCUAGGGACUACAAAUUAACAGGAUAUGGCGCUCUGUCCUCAGAGAACUGGAGAUCACACCAAGUUAAAGAGGUGCAUUGCAGGGUGUAGUGGCUCACAACUGUAGUCCCAGCAUCUGGGAGGCUGAGGCAGGAGGAUCACCAAGAGUUUGAGGCCAUCCUAGGCUACAAAGUGAGGUCAAAGCCAUCUUGGAUUAUAUAGUGAGACCUUGUCUCAAAAUAAUUUUUAGGGGGCUGGGGAUUUAGCUCAGCAGCAUAAGCGCCUGCCUUGCAAGCAGGCAGUCGUGAGUUCGAUCCCUGGUACCGAUAAAAAGGAAAAAGACAAAAAAAUAAUAAUAAUAAUAAUAAUUUUUAAAACCUCCAAAACCAAAAAGCUAGUUGAAUAACUUAUUCUAGAGAGACAGACUGAGGGGUGAUCCACACUGCCUGACCCUGAUUUCUGGGAUAAGGGAAGUUAACCAAAUCCUUUCCCUCAAGAAUGGGCCAUCAGUCCAUGACAGGAGAUAUUCGUAAUGAAGGUUGCAUUUCCAGGGUGGUAAGGUGCCAUCAGGUGCAGUGACACACACCUGUAAUCCCAGAACUCUGGGCAGCUGAGGCAGGUAGCUCUCAAAUUUGAGCUCAUCCUAGAGGACUAGAAAUUUAACGAGACUCUGUCUCAAAAAACAAAAUAAAAAAAAAAAAUGGGGGUGGGGAGCUGGGAAUGUAACUGUAGAAAGUACAGAAGUGGAGAAGUUACAGAUGGGCGAGAUCACGGAACAGGCUGUCAUGAGGUUGAAAAGAGCCAGCCAGCUUCCCGGUGUGGUCCUUUGAGUGGGGACUGAGCACAGGAGGAGAUGGCGUGGGGAGCCGAGGGGCAGUGCACGUCUGGGGCUCCCUGAAGGAAGGGACACCUGCUCACCAGCUGGAGCAGCGAGCACGGGGACAGAGGCCUGAGAGGAGCAGGCAGAAGGCAGAUGGGUGACCCUCCGAGCUUCUCGAGGGUUCAGUGUGAGACCCAGGCAGGGAGGGCCCUUUGCAGAUUAUAAACCCAAAAAAGGUAGGACCACAUUUGCAUUUGAGGUCUUUGUUUCCGUUUUGAAAAUUCUCUCUGCGAGGGUGGCUGGUAAAAAGGGAGAAGUGGAGCACGAAAGAAAGGUAGGUACAAGGGCUUGAUGGUCACAAAAUCCAGGCUCAUGGCACUGUGUGGCUGCACCACGCAUAAAGACGGGGCCAUGGGCUCCAAAAGCUGGGUCAGAAUAGGUGAAUCUGUAGAGACAGAAAAUGGUCCAGCUUGGGUUGGAGUUAGCAGCAGGAGGAGGGGUUUUUGGUGUGUAGGAAGAUGAUAGACUAUUUAUUCUAAACUUGUGAAAACAGUUGCCCACCUUUGUGCAUAUUAAAAGCUUUUUAAGGAGCAGGAAAUGUAGCUCAGUAGUUACAACGCAUGUUUAGUUUGUGCUUGUGUGAGGCCCUGGGUUCAAUCCCCAACCCUGCAAGAAAGGAACGAACAAGGUUACUGCAUGGUGCACUUUAAAUGGGUGGAUUCUGUCACAACUAAAGGGGAAAGGCAAGCAGGGCUGGAGGUACAGCUCAGGGCCCGGCAGUAGCUCAGCAUCAGGUUCCAUCCCAGCUCUGUGAGGAGGGAGAAAGGUGGGAAGGGAGGGAAGGUUGGGUCUGGUCCAGCGAGCUCCCGCGGCUGCCAAGGACGGGAAGCACAGCUGGGGUGGCAGCAGAUGUCUCUGGGCAGCUCUAGAAGAGGGAGCCAGGAGGAGUCCCACCUGCGCCCGGCCACCAUGCCAGCAGCGUGGCCCUGUCCCCCAGCCUGAGGUGCAGUGCUGCAUCUCUGGUCAGUUGGGAGUCUGAGAUGAAGCACUGUAGCUCAGGAAGGGAGAAGUCGUUCUGCAGCCUCGGCCUGGAUGUGGUAAGUGGUGACCUGGGAGGCUGGCGGGGGGACUGUCCCCGAGCUCCAUAUCCUCUGCAGCUUUCUGUGCUGCCAGAGCCCUGGACUCCAGAUGCACCAAAGUUGCUCUGAUUCCUCUGUGCCCGUGGGUCCCUUAUUAACAUGAGGGGCCCUGCCAUUCAGGGUGGCCAGCACUCAGCCCCCUGCCUCUGUUUCCUCCUUUGGAGCCCAUGGCAGGGACCACUAACAGCCAGGCAGCUCUGAAGCUUUCUCAGCCUUUGUCCUGGAUAGCUGUGAGCCACUGUGAACAACUCAGAACCAAGCACAGUCCAAGUGGAAAUCAGACAGCUCCCAAAGACCCUUUAAACUCAGAGUCCUGGCCUCUGAGGUGGGGCUCAGUCUGAGCUCCUAUGUGUGGCUGUUUCAGAUGAGCAGUGAAUAGCACAAGAGAGCAGCUGGGCUGGGCAGUGUUGUCUAACUUCCCAACAAACGGUGAGGAGAAGGCAGUACAAUGGGCCCACUUGACAGAGGAACAAACUGAGGCCCAGGGCAGCAACUCACCUAAGGUUGGACCCUAAUCCUUCUGCCUUUGGGCCCAUGCCCUUACCCCCUGCCAUGAUUAUGGAACUAGUUGGGGAGCCAGAAAAGAACACGGCAAAUCCCACUCUGGUCUUGUCUUAAUGCUAUUGGCCAAAGCAGCCCCAGACACUUCCGUUAACACCAUGGGCUCACCCCUGCUCCUGUCCUAUUAACCCACCUGUUCUGUAGGUUUUCUAACAUCCCAUUUUCAGGCUAAGGGUUUCAAGGACUCGCUGGAGGUCAUCAGAGGACAUUGCCAACUUGAGUGAUGGCACACACUUUGCAAUGCCAGCCCUCUGGGAAGCUGAGGCAAGAAAAUCAAGAGUUCUAGUCCAGCCUGGAUAGUGAUUUAGCAAGACUCUAGAUUAAAAGAAAAAAUAAAAACAGGGCUAAGACUGUAAGGCUGGGCCUGGGGAUUUAGCUCAGCGGCAUAAGCACCUACCUUGCAAGCGCACGGUCGUGAAUUCAAUCCCUGGUACUGAUUAAAAAUAAAAAAAAAAUUAAAAAAAAACAAAAAACACUGUAAAGCUAUAGGCCCUGGGUUUUAGUCUUAGUGCAACAAAAAAAGAAAUCUGCCCUGUUCACCCUGUCUCGAGACUCUCGAGACACUUGAGCCAAAACAAUUAUGAGGGGAUUUGGGGGAGAGUCCCAGAUGGGUUCUCAUCCACAGCUUCACGGGGCUGCCUCAGUGGCGGAGAAGGUACUUUCCGGGGCCCUCGAAGUUCUGGUCACUAUUCUUCCAGCAACGAGCCACAUCCUGACAGCGUGGCACCUGAGCCAGCUGCUGCCACGGGGCUGACCGCAGAAGAAGCACGCCAGCUGGCUCCCGGGGGCCUGGGACAUGCAGGCCUUGGUGCUGACGGCCGCUCUCACACCUUGUCCUCACGGUCCAGUUUUCCCAGGAAUCCCUUGGAUGCUAAGAUGGGGAUUCCUGGAAAUACUGUUCUUGAGGUCACGGUUUAGCAGCUGGACUCACCUCACCCCCUCCCAGCUCUGCCCCUGCAGGAUGAGCGUCAAGAGGAGGACCAAGCCCUGGAGGUAAGAGGGCCCUGAGCCACAUGCUUGACCUUUUGGUUGCUUUUCUUUCCACUGCGUCCAUUUCAAAACAUUUCCAUGAGGCUAGCAAUGGAACUGUCCACACUUGGGAAACUCGUCCGAAGCCACACAGCUGCGCAGUGGCCGAACCAGGAUAAUUCCCUCCCAUGCCCCCCCCCAUCACCCUCUCCUCUGGAGGCCUUGUUACAAGGGGUCACAGCAUCACAGUCACAUUAUUGAGAAACUAAAACAUGCACCUGAAUUCGUUUAAAAAUUUUAUUAAAUCAGUCAGCCAGGUAGGGUGGGUGGUACAUGCCUGCAAUCCCAGCUACUCAAGGCUGAGGCAGAAGGAUCACAAGUUCAAGACCAGCCUGGAUGACAUAGAAAGGCCCUGUAUCGAAAAAAUAGGUUAAAAAAUUUAUUACAUCAGCCAGGUAAACUAAAGACCAUAAAUCUUUGCUCAAUUUGGAAUACAGCUACAGAAAAAUGAGUAAUUUUUCAUCAAGGUAGAGAAAACAAGACUCAGGGCGCCCCCUUGUGGUUCCUGUACCCAUUGCAGGAACUGUGGCCAUUUCACUCCUGGCUCACUCUUCAGCCAGAGACCUGCUUGAGCCUGACCUGCUGGCUCUUACCAGUGAUGCCUUCUUCACGGCUGCUUUCCUUCCAAAGCUUGAUGUCCUCUUUAAACCCAGCUAACGUCAGUAGAGUUAAUGAAGUUCCGCGAAGUACAAGGUCACACAGACAGUAAAAGGCAGGAUCAGAACUAGUUUCAAGUUCAGUGUCUUAGCAAUCUCUUACCCAAAAGAAAAACCUACAUAAAUUAAAAACAAAACCUGCCUCCGGGUAACGCUGACUGACUGGAUACCAAGAGCCCUGAAGUGGUCUAGGUGCACAGUUAAGCACUUUCCUCAAACCCUUCAUGGUGCUCCUUAUGGAGGUGGUGACAGCUUGUGGCCUCAGAGUCCUGACUCGGGGGUGUGAUCCCCACAUUCCCAGGGGCCAGGUGGCUGUGUUCCUAAUGCCACACUGGAGAUGAGUAUGAGCUGAGACCUCUUCCUGCUUGUGUGCGGACCCUGGCCCUGGCCUGACUGGAGAUCAGACCUGCUCAUAACAACAGUGGCAGUGGUAGCACUGACUGGGACUAUAGCUACACUGACAAAUGUCUCCUCCUCACCACGGCCCACUGCAGCAGGUUCUGCCAUUUGCUCCCUUCUACAGAUGAGAGGUUAGGACUCUUUCCUAAAGUUACAGGGCUAAGGAGCUACGAAGCUGGAAUCUAAUGGGAUCUAUGUAUAUGCUUUGAACCACCAUGUCGGGGUGCUUGCCACCAUUUGCCCUGGCCAGCAAGGCUGUCUCCAGGUGGCUUCUCCUUUGCUGUGGUCUCUCUGUGUUCUGUGACUAAUAAAGUGCUGGACCUUUG